AUCCCACUUCUCGCGAUAAUAAUCUUUUGCAGAAAAGAGACGUGGUUUCGCCCACUCUCCCCUAGCAGUCAAUCUUCGGCCUCGCCGCUUGGUUACUGGGAGCUCUGAAAGCGACAGUCGCCCGACGGGGGUUUUCCCGUCACGUGGCCUUGAGACUGACACGAGGGUAGGCAGACUCACGUGUCUGGUGGGGAGCCGUAUAAAAGCGAGGCACCGAGAACACCGAAACCAACAGAACGCCCUCAUUGCCGCAUCAGCGUCUUCGAAGUCUCAGUUCAGCCGCAGUCAUGAUCGCCGCAAGCACCAAGUCCAUCCUCCUCGCCCUCGUCGUGCUGGCCGCUCUGUGCAGCCUGGCAGCCGCCCAGUUCGGCUACGGCGGUUACGGUGGCUACGGACGCGGCUAUGGCUACGGAGGCUACGGCCGCGGCUAUGGUGGUUACGGUGGCUACGGCCGUGGCUACUAUGGCGGCUACGGAGGCUACCGCCGUGGAUACGGCUUCUACGGUUAAAGAAGCACCUCUUAUCCCCGACUGCCUCCAACGAGACCACGAAACGACGCGCCCGCAACUCGAAUACAUCUACGAGUAACGAUUCGCCCUGCAAUGAAAGAUUACAUAGAAUAAAUUGAUUUCAUAAUGCUU